UACAGUUGAUCAGAUGAAGAAUGCCAUGAAAAUCAAUGAUUGGGUCAGUCUUCAAGAGACCUUCGACAAGAUCAAUAAGCAGUUGGAGAAGGUUAUGCGCAUCACAGAGGCAGUUAGAGCUCCUAAUCUUUACAUCAAAUCUCUAGUGAUGUUGGAGGACUUUUUGACUCAGGCUUUGGCCAAUAAGGAGGCAAAGAAGAAGAUGAGUAGUAGCAAUGCCAAAGCCUUGAAUUCAAUGAAACAAAAGCUCAAAAAAAAUAAUAAACAGUAUGAAGAGUUGAUCAACAAAUAUAGGGAGAAUCCUCCUGUUAGUGAGGAUGAAGGUGGGGAUGAUGAAGAGUCGGAAGAGGAAUUUGAGGAGGACCCUACAAAGAUUGCAGUUGCACCCAACGAUGACACUAAUAGAAGUCUUGAUCCGGCAAAUGAGUGGGAGAUUAUACUGAACAAGAAAGACAAACUAAUGGAUAAACAGUUCAAGGACCCUAGUCAAAUCACGUGGGAUAUAGUCAACAAGAAGUUUAAGGAAAUUGUUGCGUCUAGGGGUAGGAAGGGAACUGGAAGGAUCGAAUUGGUUGAGCAGCUCACCUUCUUGACCAAGGUG
rnacentral:misc_RNA from 1 species